rnacentral:rRNA from 1 species
AUGCCAGAGUGCUUUAGACACUUCUUUGGUGCUUGUGAGGUGGCUGCCACUAUUGGACCAGUUCUAGAGAUUGACAUGACAACCAUUCUGCAAGAAAAAAUCAGGGCCAAGGUGAGGGUGAGAGACUUUGAAAAAAUUCCAAAGCAUACUGAAGUUACUAACAAGGAUCUCAUGAUCUACAGAGUCACUCUAGAGCUAGAAAAAGUAGCGGAGCAAGGUUGGUAUGAAGAGAAAAGGAAGCAUGAAGAUAGUAUGACAGAUCAUGAUGCAGGGAGCAAGGAAAACAUUUCACUAGGCAGUGUAGGACUCAAACAAUUUGAGGAAAUGAUGAAAAUGAAUGAUGAAAUUCUCAAAGUUUAG